rnacentral:rRNA from 1 species
GAGGAAUAUUGGUCAAUGGGCGAGAGCCUGAACCAGCCAAGUAGCGUGAAGGAUGACUGCCCUAUGGGUUGUAAACUUCUUUUAUAAAGGAAUAAAGUCGGGUAUGCAUACCCGUUUGCAUGUACUUUAUGAAUAAGGAUCGGCUAACUCCGUGCCAGCAGCCGCGGUAAUACGGAGGAUCCGAGCGUUAUCCGGAUUUAUUGGGUUUAAAGGGAGCGUAGAUGGAUGUUUAAGUCAGUUGUGAAAGUUUGCGGCUCAACCGUAAAAUUGCAGUUGAUACUGGAUAUCUUGAGUGCAGUUGAGGCAGGCGGAAUUCGUGGUGUAGCGGUGAAAUGCUUAGAUAUCACGAAGAACUCCGAUUGCGAAGGCAGCCUGCUAAGCUGCAACUGACAUUGAGGCUCGAAAGUGUGGGUAUCAAACAGGAUUAGAUACCCUGGUAGUCCACACGGUAAACGAUGAAUACUCGCUGUUUGCGAUAUACGGCAAGCGGCCAAGCGAAAGCGUUAAGUAUUCCACCUGGGGAGUACGCCGGCAACGGUGAAACUCAAAGGAAUUGACGGGGGCCCGCACAAGCGGAGGAACAUGUGGUUUAAUUCGAUGAUACGCGAGGAACCUUACCCGGGCUUAAAUUGCAGAUGAAUUACGGUGAAAGCCGUAAGCCGCAAGGCAUCUGUGAAGGUGCUGCAUGGUUGUCGUCAGCUCGUGCCGUGAGGUGUCGGCUUAAGUGCCAUAACGAGCGCAACCCUUGUUGUCAGUUACUAACAGGUUCCGCUGAGGACUCUGACAAGACUGCCAUCGUAAGAUGUGAGGAAGGUGGGGAUGACGUCAAAUCAGCACGGCCCUUACGUCCGGGGCUACACACGUGUUACAAUGGGGGGUACAGAGGGCCGCUACCACGCGAGUGGAUGCCAAUCCCAAAAACCUCUCUCAGUUCGGACUGGAGUCUGCAACCCGACUCCACGAAGCUGGAUUCGCUAGUAAUCGCGCAUCAGCCACGGCGCGGUGAAUACGUUCCCG